rnacentral:lncRNA from 1 species
AAGGGAGAGUAUGAAAGCAAUGGAUGAAUUAAAUUGAUCAGUCUUCGGCGGGCACCACUUUUCCAUCCACCACUUCAUUAUCCAGCGACACCAUGCUGAGAUCCAGGUCGGGAAACAAGCAGGCAAAUUGUUCCCGUGCAGCUUCGAAUCCAGCGGCCAGAAUUUGAGCAGAGUUUAGCUUGAGUUCUUCAAUUUGCUUCUGAAGUUCCUCAAUCCGCUUCUUGAGAUCUUCAGUUUGCUCUUUCAGCUCCUUAUUCUGUUGCUCCAGCUCUUCAACCUGUUUCUUGAGUUGUUCGUUGGUCUCUUGAGCCUGGAGAAGGUCUUCAGCAACCUUCUUGGAUUCCGCUUGCACUUGGGCCAAUUCAGCAGCUACCUUUCCCUUCUCUUCAUUGGCUUUGG